AUUGUUCCGCUUAACUGCCCUAAACCGUUUCCCAUUCAUUUUCAAUGGUAGUGCUAAAAUACAACGGAUGCAAUAUCAAUUUCGGCCACUGUCGCUCUGUGGCGCACUUCCACGCUUUGCACCUCCAGGAGAUUUCAAGCCGCCAUUUUGUUUCCGCGUCUGAAAGACAGGGCACGCUCAGGACUUUGCACGUUUUAUUCAGCGCUUUCUCGUCUCAUCGACCAAAUAACAGCAGAUGUUUUGGCUACACCUAUAUCCAUCCAAUAAAUGAAGGUGGUCCGUGUGAAUGUGUUUCAACAUUGAUAAGUGUUAUGAUCACACAUCUCCAAGGCUGUUUGCAAAAUGGUCCCAUAGGCUACAAUUGACCUUUGACUUUUACUGCACUUUUUACUAAACUCCGGUUGCCAAGUGGGUGCGGGAGGAGUUGUGACCGAAAGGAACUGUUAUAUUGGGACCACGACUGCCUCAUGUCUGAUUUUGGGAAGUUAUAAUUCUUAUAUAUUACCAUGCAUUUUUUUUAAGAAAUGUGAUGAGAUUUUAUAAAAUAGUAAUUAUUUUUUCCCCCAUUUUGUUUAUCUGUAUUGUGUAUGUGUCUUUGUUUAUCUGUUUCUUCUUACAUUGUUAAAAUGGGUUUGUUAAAUUGUGCAUACAAUAAUUUGUUUUUAUAUGUUUAUGAUGAUUUACAGAUGUCAUGUUUUGCAUUGAUAUAGUAAAGAAUGUAGCGCUUUUACGUUAACCCAAAGAUCUCUUCGCAUAGAAAUUGGUCCAAUUCUGGUAAAAAAACAAUAGCAAAACCAAAAAAAUAUAUAUAUUUAAGAUAAAAAGAUACAAAUUGUCUACAGUCCCUGACAAAAGUCAGGUCUCUUAACCUGACUUUUAAUUAAUCAAUUGGUGUUAGAAAUAGCUCAUAUGAAACGCUAAAACCCUCCCAAAUAACUUUUAAUGCACGGAAAUAAAUCAGUUUCACUGGAAAAAGAUUGAUCAUUUAAUCAAGACAGAAAGGACAAAUUUUGGCAAGACAAAAGUUUUGUUGCCUUUACAGUAAUUGAACAAAUUUACUGCAAAUACAAAAAUAUGUCAGCAAAUUAAGUAGUGGCGCUCUGAGAUCCAAAUUUAAUAUCUUGUAUGACUUCCAUGAGCUUGAAGGACUGCAUCCAUGCGGUUUGGCAAGGAUUCAUACAAUUUAUUGAUGAAGUCAUCAGGAAUAGCAAAGAAAGCAGUCUUGCAUGCCUCCCAGAGUUCAUCAAUAUUCUUUGGUUUCGUCUUCAAUGCUUCCUCUUUCAUCCUUUCAUCAUAUGUUCAAUGAUGUUCAUGUCUGGUGACUGGGCUGGCCAAUCCUGGAGCAUCUUGAUCUGCUUCGCCUUGAGGAACUUUGAUGUGGAGAUGGAACUAUGCGAUGUAGCACCAUCCUGCUGCAGAAUUUGGCUCUUUUAUGGUUGGGAAUAUAAGAGGUAGCUAAGAUUUCUUGGUAUUUUAGACUAUUGAUGUUGCCUUCCACCCUGCAGAUCUGUCGCACACCCCCAUACUGGACGUAACCCCAGACCAUGAUUUUUCCGCCCGCAAACUUCACUGUUUUCUGGGUGAAUCUCAGAUCCAUGCGGGCUCCAGUAGGUCUCCUGCAAUAUUUGCGGCGACUGUGGUGUAAUUCAACAGAAGAUUCAUCUGAAAAAUCCAUCUUUUGCCACUUUUCCAGCGUCCAUCCUUUUAGCAGGCUGUGGGCCUUGGCAAAUGCCACACGGUUUUUCAAUUGUCUUUUGUUUAGUGCUGGCUUCUGGGCACUGAUUCGACCAUGGAGGCCAUUUCGAGACAGAAUCCGACAAACUGUUCUGGUUGACACAGGGACUUCAGAUGACCAGGUCUCGUGGAGCUCUGCUGCAGUGGAAAAUGGGCUGGCCUUGGAUUUUCGAGCCAACAAUCGGUCCUCUCAAGCAGUUGUCUUGCGGGGUCUGCCUGACCUGGGCUUGUCAAAAACGUCUACCGUCUCUUCAAAUCUUUUUAUCCUCUGUACUUGACGUUGAGACACAUUGAAGGUGUCUGCCACAUCAGCAGUGGAUCUUGUCUUCAGCCUCUUGAUAAUCAAAACUUUAGUCUAAUGGUGACUCUUAGGCAUGUUUGCAGAGGUCUAGUUGCAGUUGAUGUGAAGGUCUAGUGUACUGGGGUUCUAUUUAUACACACCUAAUUCAUCCAUUAUUAGUUACAGGUUCAUAUGACAAGGCGACAACACUUAUAUCUUUUCAAAAAUUGACUCAAUUGCCUUUACCAAGCUGUGAAUAUUACAAUCCUUUUUGACAGUUUUGUUUUGCACUGAAACAUUAUUACAAGAGAUGUUGAGAUUAAAAUGAGCCAUUUCUUGUAAAAAAAAUCUUGAUUAGAAAUAUAUUUCAGCAGCACUUCAGGUCAAUAUGUACACAAGCGACAAGACUUUUGUAAGGGACUGUAGUUUGUAAAAAAAAAAUUUUUUAUUGAAUAUGACAUUUACCAGGUCGUGCAAUGACAAAAGCUGUCUGAUUGAACUAAACUGAAUAGUUUUCUGUAUCUUAUAGUUACAAUACUUUUCCGGUAAAUUUCUUAAGUAGCAUAUGUGUGUGUGAUUUAAAGUUCUAAAAAUGUCAAGUGCGAUUUUUUGAUAACAUGUUUUAGUGAUUUGUUUGAGAGUUAAAGGACGUUAUCAUUUUAAAGCACUAUACAACCCAGAAAUCGCCCCACAUAAAUUUAUGGUCAGUGGCCGCAACUGAUUAUGUGGCUCUUUUAGAUAAAGGUGAGGAAUGCAAGAAAUUGACUCGGUUUACGCCGAUUCUUUUGUUGUGAGAACAAUUUAAAAUCGAAUUUCUUAUUGUACUUAACUUGGAUUAUGACUAUAAGAAUAAUUUUACAAAUGCCUCAUGAUACUCAAUAAAAAUGUUGUUUGUGAUCCAAAACUUCUGAAUUGUAUCAAAACAUAAUUGAAUUUUCCUUUUUUGUACCAUGUCUUGAGCACUCUUCAUUUGUUUAUCAUGUUGGCCAAAAGGUUUUUACAGAAGGAAGCGACAAAGUUGCCUUUGGAGACAACAAAAUCUCAUUGGCAGUACAAUAUGAAUUUAAAUAAUUGACUUUGUCAAAACUCUGUGUCACUAAACUUCCUCUAGCAUCAAGAUUUUUUUCUCAAUUGAUGUUAAACUCUUGUCAUUGUAUUUUGUUUUUUCUCAACAUCUGCCUUGUCACUGGGUUUUUACACAUUUUGUCACGACCCAGGUUGGGUUGGGGCAUUUGUCUGCACGUGGGUGUAUUGUCUUUGUCAGUGUCUGCGUCAUUAUCCCCGCCACCGUGUUUCCUUAGGUUUCCCCAUCACGGGUGAUUUUCUACUCCAUGCUCACACACCUGUUUAUCCCUCAUUAAGCUUAUUACCCAUUGCACCUGCUAGCCAUCUCCUCUUGUUAUGUUUUCCUAUUUAAUGCCUCAGUGUCUCUUGUCCGUUGUCUGAUUGUUGCAUUCUGCCAGUUCAGACUGACCUAGGUGUUGCUGCGGCUCAUCUAAUAGAAGUCUUUUGCAAAUCUUUCUAGCCUUUACGUUCCUGUCACAGUUUCCUAGAGUUCUCUCCACCCUUCCGCAUCUCGCUGACCGAGGACGGCUGUCUGGUGGCAUCUUCCUGUUGUGUUUUACCUCUUCUGGCAUUGUCCUCCAGCUCCCGUCAGUGAAAAGGCAGCUGGAGUCAGUGAAGUUUAGAGACGCAGGACUUUAGUGUAAUGUACAGCAGGAUGAAUGGUGUAAUGCAUCAGAUGUCUUCUAGUACAAGAGGAUAAAAAUGGACUUGAUAAAAUGUUAUGUUCUGUAAGUUUGCCAAUGUUUUUCUGCACCUUCUGUCUAUUAUUUUAUAUUCCGUCCCAAAUAUUGAGAAAAAUUGAAUAAGCAUUCAAAGGAAUGUAAAUUUGCACUUUAUUGCUUUUAAUUAGAAAAAUGAUGUUCAUUAACCAAGGUGCUCGCAGGUAUAGAUAUGCAAUAAAAGCUCCAUUAUAAAAUAUAAUUAUUUACUGUCAUUUUAGUUCGUAGUUAAAAUUCAAAGUGUGAUCAAGUGGAUGAACAGUGAUGUUGGGGCAGAGAAUGACAGGCAGGUUUUGAUUUUCUUUUUUACCAGUUAUUUUAUAACCAGCUGGUGUGUGUUUAACAAGCCCUAUCAAAUAAGGUUGUCUUUAUUUUCAUUCAGAGGGACAGUUCACCCGAGAGUAUGUUAUUUACUCACCCUCAGAUUGUGUUUUGCUGAAUAGAUUUGAAAGAACCAGAGAUCUCAUCCCCCAUCAACCCCUAUAUUUAUUUUCCCUACUAUGGCAGCAAAUGGGGAUGAGAUCUGUUUGGUUACUUACAUUCAGCAAUACACAAUAAAGCACUAUAUAAAUGCCUACUUCACUCAAAUUUACAGUCACAUAAUAGCAUAAAUCUGUUUAGUAAUGUUACACUUUGUACGAUGCUAUAUAUGGAAUUGUUUUUCCCGUGUCCCUGAGAGUACGAUCACAUAUGUGGGAUUUCAGAAUGUACAGUGAUAACAUGCUGCCUGAAUCAAGCCGGGUUUGGCCAAUAGCAUCUGUCUGCAGACGAAGUGCACUGUCAGACACAUGCACUCUCAGCCGCGCACAUGCAGGUCAAAAAUGCUGUGUAAACGACUUAAAAAGAACUUCCUGUGACAACCGUAUCAAAAUAAUAACGUAUUUCACGAGGUUAACUGUAAGAUUCUAUUA